UACGGGAGGCAGCAGUGGGGAAUAUUGCACAAUGGGCGCAAGCCUGAUGCAGCCAUGCCGCGUGUAUGAAGAAGGCCUUCGGGUUGUAAAGUACUUUCAGUCGUGAGGAAGGUGUUAAGGUUAAUAACCUUAGCAAUUGACGUUAGCGACAGAAGAAGCACCGGCUAACUCCGUGCCAGCAGCCGCGGUAAUACGGAGGGUGCGAGCGUUAAUCGGAAUUACUGGGCGUAAAGGGCACGCAGGCGGUUAAUUAAGUUGGAUGUGAAAUCCCCGGGCUUAACCUGGGAAUGGCAUUCAAGACUGGUUAGCUAGAGUCUUGUAGAGGGGGUAGAAUUCCAUGUGUAGCGGUGAAAUGCGUAGAGAUGUGGAGGAAUACCGGUGGCGAAAGGCGGCCCCUGGACAAAAGACUGACGCUCAUGUGCGAAAGCGUGGGGAGCAAAACAGGAUUAGAUACC
rnacentral:rRNA from 1 species